CCCCACACUGCUGUUCCCGGGAGAGUUGAGACCCUGCCUUCCCUGUGCAUGGGACCGUCCCCUGGGUCGGGGGACAGGACGUUCGCAGUGGUGGACGGGAACACGUUCAUGCCCGUGCAGCCCCUUUAUCUGCCCUGCACACCGCACUCAGCUGGCACCAGCUGUCGCGGCCUCAUCCUUUGGGGCAAACACAAGCAGGUUUGUGUCCUGGUCCCUCCAGCAGGCAUGGCCGUCUGUCCAGGGCAGUGUCAGGGGGAUCCUGCAGCCUGAAAAUGCUUUCCCCUCCGGGCCUGAACAGAUGGGGACUCCUGGCUCUGGGUGCCCCCUGGUGGACCCUGUGAAGCUUGGAGGCGAGAAAUUGUACCAGGAUGGAGACAGAGAUGGAGACGGGAGGGAAGCUCCUCCAGGACAAGGAGGCUGAACUUCAGAAGGACUCACAGGAGCCAGAAAUCUCAAGCCAGGCCAGUAUCCUGAGGUGUGAGCCAUCCACUCCAGCCCGAACCCCAGGGCCUCCUCUUGUGGAAACGACUUACAUGUCGGGUUUCCAGGGACUCUCUGAUAGGAAUGCUCUUUUGUGGUUAUAUUCGAGGUAAAAGGCCCAGCUUAAAAUUUCCCUCCCAGCAAAUUCAUCCAAACCUUGUGAGUGGAAGAGGCUGUUGAAAAUGUGUCAAGAAUGAUAAAGCUCAGCCAAAAAAAGGGAACCUGAGAGAGUUCUCCUAUAUUGAUGGAGACAAUGAGGAAAAUGAGGACGUGAAUGGGGUGGGGAUCGCCUGCCUUGAACCACUGCCACGUGCAAAUGACCUGUCCCAUGGGACUCCUUGCUGCCAGGUAUGUGCUCUGCCAAGUGAUUUAUGAAGACCGGCCUGACGGCGAGUACAUGAAUCCCUCUAACCAGACUCAAAAAAGAUCCAGGGUCUAGGAAAAGUAUUCCCUCUAAACCAGAGGUUCUCGAUGGGAGGUAGUAGGACCUCCUGGGGACAUGUGGUCACAUCCAGGGACACUGCUGGCCGUCA